UUGAUUUUUCGAGACAGGGUUUCUCUGUGUAGCUUUGCGCCUUUCCUGGAACUCACUUGGUAGCCCAGGCUGGCCUCGAACUCACAGAGAUCCGCCUGGCUCUGCCUCCCGAGUGCUGGGAUUAAAGGCGUGCACCACCACCACCCGGCGUUAUCGGCAUCUUAACAUGCUACUUGUCAUGGUGGCGGCUGGCAGUGUCUCUCCCUCCACCUUCCUGUUCUCUUAAUUCUCCUCCCUGUUAGUCCCGCCUAUACUUCCUGCCUGGCCACUGGCCAAUCAGUGUUUUAUUUAUUGACCAAUCAGAGCCAUUUGACAUACAGACCAUCCCACAGCACUUCCCCUUUUCUUUUUUCUAUUGCAGCAGGGAAGACUUGGCAAUAGGCAUGGAUGGCAUGGAGGCAAGACCAGGAGGCUUUCUGGUCCCAUUGUAUCCACACUCAGGAAGCAGAGAGGGAUGAAUGCAUACCACUGCUGCUCACUUCCCUUUCUCAGUACAGUUAUGAUACCAACCAAAUGACCUCAAUCAAUGCAAUCAGUAUAAUCUCCAUAGGCAUGCCUAGAUGCUGGUCUCCCAGGAGAGUCUAGAUUCUAUCAAGCUGAUGGUUUACAAUAAGCAUCACAGAUGAUUAUUAAGGCAUGAUAAUGUAGAUUCAUAUGAGAAUUGUUUUAUACCUAUACAUUUUAUUAGUAUAUACUAAUUGUACGAAGUAUUUAGCUUUAUUUUCAGCAUGUGCAUAGUAUUUGUUGAUCAUUUUCACACACAUAUCCCAUUUUAUUUUCACACACAUAUCCCAUUUUAUUCUAGGUUGGUUUCUUAACUUAUCUACAGUGAGUAGGGUUGAAUAGGCCUUUAAAAUGUGCAGGUGUCUCUACUUUAUAAUGACUUUGAUUUCUUUCAAUAUAUAUGUGGAGUGGGAUAGCUAGAUAAUACAGGAACUCUGUUUUUAUAUUUUAAGGAAAUUCAACACUGGUUUCCAUAGUGGCUGGAUUAAAAUUUUAAUCAAUAUAUUUGCAUGAGAGAAACUAUGAAUAAGUGAAGAAUGGAAGGACCCUACUGCAAAUAUAAUAAUGACCAUAUAUGACAAACUCAUGGCCAUCAGAUUACUAAAUUGGAAAAAACUGAAUGCAUUUAUUUUACAACCAGGAAAAGGAAAAAGGCACUUGUUCUCUACACUUUUACACUAGUUCUUGAAUUCUUGGAGAGGUCAGUAAGUCAAGAAAUCAAAAUAAAGAUGAUAUAAAUAGAAAAGAGUUAAAAUUAUCCACAUUUUCAGAUAUUGUGAUCCUAUAUGGAAAAGACAUAAAGAGGGGAUUGGAGAGAUGCCUCAGUGGUCAGGAACACUUACUGCUCUUGUAGGGGACCUUGGUUCUUUCCGCAGCAUCCACAUGAAGUGAAGGCUCACAACUAUCUGUAACUUCAGUUCCAGAGGAUCCAGUGCCCUCUUCUGUCCUCCAAAACCACCAGGCACACACAUGGUGCAUAUGCAUACAUUCAAGGCAAAAUAAGCACAUAAAAUUAAAUAUUUUAUGGAGUGUGGUUGAUAUACCAGUUCUACUCUAUUGGAGAAAAGUGAUUUUACAUUUCCUAGCGGGUAUCAGUCACAAAUAGCUUUCAUGGUUAAAGGUGGGACUUUGUGUCUACUUUCCCUUCUCUGAGCUUGAAUUUUAUCUGAUUUGAACCAGGCCCCUUACUCAGAAGUAGUUGGCCAGCACAAAACAAACUGUAUUGUUUCUUUGUGUGUGUGUGUGUGUGUGUGUGUGUGUGUGUGUGUGUGUGUGUGUGUAUGUGUGCUUUUUGUUUUGCUAUUUAUUUUUAGUUUGGUUGUUUUGAUUUUUAUGUGAUUUCUUUUGAGAGAGAGAUGGAGGGAGAGAAGAAUAUGAAGUUGGGUGGAAAGAGAGGUGAAGAGAGUCUGGGAGGAGUUAAAGGAGGGGAACUAUGAUCAAAAUAUAUCAUAUGAAAAAAAUUUUAAAUACAAAUAAAUUAAUUAGAAAAUAUUUUUGAAAAAGACCAAAAGACACCAUAAGAAAAUAUUUAGUUUUGAUACAUAGUUUUAACAAAUUAGAAUAAUACAAAAUUUGGAUAAAAAUGAAUGUUUUCAAUUUUUUUGUUUUUUGCUUUUGUUUUUUCAAGACAGGGUUUCUCUGUGGAACUUUGGAGUCUGUCCUGGAUCUCACUCUGUAGAACAGGCUGGCCUCAAACUCAGAGAUCUGCCUGGCUCUGGUCCUGAGUACUGGGAUUAAAGGCAUGCACCACCACUGCCUGGCUUGUUUUCAAUAUUUUUAUAAAUAAAAGAAUAAGAAACCUACUGAGAAAUAAAUUAGAAAAACAAUUUGAAUCACAAUAGGCUAAAAAUAAAAUAUCUAGAAAUAAACCUUAAAAAAGACGAAAGACGUUAAUGAUGGAAAAUAUAGAGCAUUUCAAGAUUUAUUUUUAGUUGUGUAUAUGUUCCUGUGUGCAGGUAUGUAAAUGUGAAUGCAGGCGCCUACAGAGGCCAAAAGAGGGGGUUGGAUCUCUUGAGCCACACAACAUGGGUCCUAGGUGCUGAACUUGAUUCCUCUGAAAGAGCAUUGCUUAAUUUUCACUGAUGAGCAUUUCCCUAGCCGAUAAAACUCUUUCUUAAUAACAUGAAAUCAAGAAGUCUGAUGAUUCUAAAGAUUACCUCAAGUAUUUUUGUGGUCAUAUAUAAAUGUUAAGAUUUUUUCUCUUUUGUUUCAGAAAAGUGCUAUUAAAACAUCAAAUGGAAUUUCAUUAUAUCUGCAAAUUAUUUUGGGUAGAAUCUAUAUUUUCAUAAUAUCACCUCUUUCCAAUCAUGCACAAGGAAGACUUCUAAGUAUUUGUGCAUUCAAUUUUAUAGAACUUUAUACAUUUCGAUGCAUAGAUAUUUUAAUCUUUUUUGCUAAGUUUAAUUCAACCUAUUUUAUUUCCUCUAAUUAUGAAAUUGUGAUGGUUUUCUUAAUAUGUUUUUGGAUGUUAUUGUUACUAUAUAGAAAUGCAACUGACUUUUAUGUUAAUUUUGUAAUUUGCCAUUUUACCUAAUUCAUUUAUGUUAACAUUUUUGCCAUGGAACACUUAAGAUUUUCUAUAAAAUCUAACCAUGUUACCUACAAAGACCGUUUUAUUUCUUCCUUUCUAAAGCAGAUGAUUAUUUUAUUACCUAAUUGCUCUCUUUAGGAAUUCUAAUAUUCUGUUUAGUUAAAGUGGUGAACAGUUUGUCUUGUUUCUGAUAUUAGAGGAAGAGCUUCACUAUUUAAUACUGAAAAUUUUUUUACCUGUGGAUAUGGCAUAUAUUGCUUUUAUUAAGUUGAGAUUCAUCCUAUAAUUUUAAAGUACUUUUUAUCAUGAAAGGAUAUUGAAUUUUUAACAUAUUCUAUUUUGUACAUUAAUUAAGAUGAUCUUGUAAUGUUUCUCUCUCAUUCUGUGAAUGUGAUAUCUCCUGUUUAUUAAUAUGAUUAUGUUGAAGCACUCUUGCAUCCCAGGGGAAAUAUCCACUUGUCUACAACACAUAGUUCUGCUGUUGGAUUUUAUUUGGUAGAAUUACAUUGAAGGUUUUCAUACCUAUAUUCAUUGGACCAUCAUCUUUAAACAAUUUUAUAUCAUCAACUGUUUUUGGAGUCAUGGUAAGCUGGAUUUGUCAACUUUGGAUAAUUCAUUCAUCUUCAUAUGAUUUGGGAAAAAUUGAAAAUAUUGCUGAUUACUCUGGCUACUUAGUAUUGUUAUGGUAAAGCACCAUGACCUAACCAAUUUAUAAAAGAGUUUAUUGGAAUUACUAUUUAGAGGUAUAAAAAUAUGUCACCAUCACGGCUUGGAAGUGUUGCAGGAGGAAGACCUGUCAAUUGGUGAAUUUAGCUGAGAGCUUAAAUUUUAGCUGCAAUCAGAGAGCAGAAAGAAUAAACUGGGAAUGGCCCAGGUCUUUUGACCUCAAAUCUUGUCCUCACCCUCAAUGACAUAAUUGUCCAGCAAGGCCAAAUCUAAAUCUACUCAAACAGAGUCAGUGACUGGGGACCAAAGAUUCAAAAAUCUAAGCCUAUGAAGGACAUUUUUAUUCAAACUACAGCAGUGAUGUCUAUUUAAAUGGUUGAGAGAAUUUGUCAGUAAAGUCACAGCAUUUCUUGGGAAUUAUCUUUAUAUAUGGAUCUAUUUUCAAACUGAAGUGUCUUUGAAGGAUCCAGUACCGGAAGCUCUUAUUUGCAUAUUGAUUUAUAUCCCUUUCUAAACAUUUUCUUUAGAAAUAGUGACUAUUGCAUAAUUAGGCUUUGGUAACUGUCAGGAAGUUCUAGAUGACUCACAGAGAAUGUUGAAGUAUUGGUAAUUCACACAUUUGUAAGAUUUGAAUGGAAAAAUCCGUAUUAAAAUAGCUGAAUUAUGAUGAAAUGUGCAGAAUGACUCAGAGAAAUAAGAUAUCUAAAAUGCAUAUUUUGAUCUUUUACUGAUUGUUUGUUUUGGCCUUUAGCCUUGACUCCUAUUAGAUGGUGGAGGUUUUAGACUCUGGUAAAUUGGAAUGGACUUUUAUUUUGAAUCAUGCUGGUUUCAGAAUAAUUUUCUUACUGGUUAUGAUUAGCGUUUAUGAGUUGAGGUAAUAAGUUGUUGCAUUGGAGUAAGUCUUAACUGAGGCAAAGUAGAACUUUUGAGGCAUACUCAGAUAAGAAUAUAGGAAUAAACAAUUGAUGACUAUUGAUGAAUUUGCUCUGUGUCAAAGAUGCAAAUGUUUCUGCUCUGGUCAAUGCAGAGUUGAAUUUUCUAUCAAGAAAGAAUUGAAAAAUUGUGAAUUGCAUUGGUUGCAAACAAUCUUUAUAACUAUUCAUUACCAAAGUUGCUAUCUGAAUUGUUUUUUUCUGUACUCUUCUCCAACAUUGAGAAACAGAUUAUUUUCAUUUUUGAAAAUAGUAAGUGGCAAUAGCUAUUUUCUUUUCUGAUUACUUCUCUGCUUUAUAAUCUCUUUAUUUCAUUCUUUCAUUUAUUUUUAUUUGUGUAUAUGUAUGCAUGUCUCUUUGUUAGUAUGCGUGUGUGUGUGAGCCAGCAGAGCCCAGCAGAAGGUAGCUGAUCCCCUGGAGUUAGAGUUUCAGGUGGUUGUGGGCCAGUCAAUGUGGAAGCUUGGAAGUGAAUCGCAAUCUUAUGAAAGAGUAGCAAGUACUCUAAACAGCUGAGCCAUGUCUCCAAACCAUGAUCAUUUCUUUAUAUAUUUAUUGACCAUUUAUAUUUCUGCUCCUAUAAGGUAUCUGAGCAAAUGAUAUACUUUUUUUUAACUUGGUUCUCAUCUGCAUUAGAGAACUGAAGUUCUUUGAUUAUUCUUUAUUAGCAUUAUUCCCUGCAAGUUACAUGAUUUAACUUAGAUACUUAUACUUCUUUGCAAAUCACUUUUACAUUGUGCUAUCAUCACAAUUAAGAUUUUAUUCCUUAUGCAUUUUAUGUUUCAAAAUAGCACCUUAAACCUCUAUCAUAAUCUUUUAACUUUUUUUUAGUAUUUUCAUGGUUAUUUUACUAUUGCUUUUUAUUUUAAGGUUUAAUAUAUUUGGAAUAUAUAAGUGUAUGCUUCUAUGAGUUUAUAACCAUAUGUCUAUCUGAUAUUUAGUUAAUUUUUCUAAACUCAUAUUUUUUCAUAUUCUUCAUUUCAAACCUUUUCUUUUGCCUUUUCUCAAUACUUUUACCACAUUCCUGGAUUUUAUAUCUCUAUACAUGUGCUUCCCUUAUGAAACAUACUCCACAAUACUAUAUUUGUUUUGUUUUGAGAGCUGGUUUCACGAUGUAACUUGGACUAUCCUUGAAUUCAUUAUAUACCCCAGAAUGACUUCAAACUCUUCAGAGCAUCCUGCCCUGCCUCCCAAGAGCUGAAAUUAUAGGCAUGUGACAACAGUGUACCUGUUUACAUAUUUAAAUGAAAUAAAAUGCUAUUCAAUAUGUAUCAAAAUCCACAAGUAUUAUUUUGGGAGAUUCUAAUUAUGCAGAACAAAUGAUUCUAGUUCUCAAAGACUGGCAAGGACUAGGUAAUUAAUGUCUGAACAAGAAAGAGGCCAAGGUUUCUGUAUCAGAGGUGUAUCCAAAGGAAAGGGAAAUAUUACAUAUUAAUUUUUAAUUCUUGAUUUUUUAAAUAUUAUCAGCAUCUUUUUAAGAUAAAUUGUAUUACUCUCUUUUCUAUAUCAGUGAAUUGAAUUUAGAGUGAUAAAAAACUUGACUGAGGAUAGCAAUUAAGGCUCUCCAGCAAAACACAACCAAUGGGGGAAUUGUUAUAUCUACAUAAUAUCUACACAAACCCCAUAGAUUAACAUUAACCAUAGUCUAGCCAACCUGACACAAAAGUACCCUCCAUGCUAGCUAGUUUUAUGCAAACUUGACACAAGCUAGAGUCAUUUUAGAAUUGAGGAAGACCUCAAUUGUGAAAAUGACCCUGCUAGAUUGGCCUGUGAGCAAACCUGUGGUGCAGUUCCUUGACUAAUGAUUGAUAUGGGCGAGCCAAGAUCACUGUGGAUAUUGUCACCACUGGACUGGUUGUCCGCAGUGCUGUAAGAGGAGGCUGAACACACCAUGUUGAGCAAGCCGCUAAGCAAUGUUCCUUCAUGGUCUCUGUCUCAGUUCCUGGUUCUUGACUUGAGUUACGGCCACAGCUUUCCUUCAUCAUGGAGUGUAAUCAGGAUAUGUGGGAUGAAAUAAACCUUUUCCUCCCAAGUUACAUUUGGUCACAGUGUUUUAUUGCUAUGUUACAAACUCUAAGUAAAAAUUGGUAUCAGAAGUGAGAUAUUUCAGUGACAUAUCUGACCAUGUUUGGGGAGGAUUAUAAAAAGACUUGAGUUUGGAACUUUGUGUUGGACGAACCAACGAGUGCUCAGAGCUCAGUAUGCUGUUCUAUGGAAGCUUUUUUGUUUGUUUGUUUGUUUUUUAUAAUUUUAUUAGAAAAAAAAUUUCUUUCUUUUUAAAUACCAACCUAUUCCCCCUCCCUCCUCUUCUUCCGCUCCCCCCACCUACCCCCAUCUCAUCCCCAUCCUCUCCUCAUAGAGAGUAAGGCCUCCCUUGGGUAGUCAACACAGACUGUUAUACCAUGUUGGGGCUAGACUUAGCCCCUCCCUUCUGUAUCAAGUAUACAAACUGACUUUUUAGACCCCAUUCCCUAUGGUGUUCUGUGGAAGCUUUGGAAAUAAGAAUGUUCAAAGCAGUGAAGACAGUGGAGGUCUGGCUUGUAAACUUUCAGAGGGAAUUUUGAGAGUCCCUUAAAGAUUCUAUUGGAGCCAUUGAUACUUUUAGCAGAAUAUAUAAUUCUGGUCAGCUGUGAAGAAUCAGCAGUGAUUAACAAGGGAUUAGAUUCAUUAAAGUGAAAUCUUUGCUUUUCUGAGGCAAUCAAAAUCUUCUAGAAGUGUUUCCAUGGGUUCAGAAGAAGCUGUCAUCCAGAGGCAGACAAGGCUGCAUCCCUUGCUGGUAGUAUAUGAAUCCUAGGUGGUAUUGGUUUUGAAGGCAUGGGGCCAUGGAGGAGAGCCGAGGCUUGGCAUCAGGAGAGGUCAGGCCAGGCUAUUGGUAAUAAUGUAGCUCCAGUAGCAGUGAAAACCCUGGGAUUGAAGGGGUCAUGAAUGGUGAUAAGUUGAGGCUUGGCACAAUGUGGAAGUGUUAGAAUCUCUGAAUGCUAACUCAGGAGAGGCUAUAGGUGAAGAUGCAGCCUUGUUACAUGGAAACCUGAGCAUUUUGGAAAUUUCAUUAUCGUGGGACACACCUGCCAAGGACAACAUCCUCUGUAGAGUAGAGGCGACCCUGGCCUAUUAGACACAUUGUAUGUAAACGACUGCCAAAGACGUUUGGAGGAGCCAGGAACAUUGUUUGUGAAUCCCAGAAGUCUGCUGGGCUUUGGUUUUGCUUGGCUUUGAUUGUGACUGUCCCUCAUUCUUUCCUCUUGUAAUAAGAACCUAUUUAACUUAUUUUUAUUUUACAGAAACCCACACUUUGAAGUUUUCAAGGAAUUUUGGGUAUGUUAGAGAGACUAUGAAUGUUUUAGAGACUUAAUAUUUUAGAGACUUUUGAUAUUUUAGAGAGGCUUGAACUUUGAAAGAGGCUGGGUGGUUUAAAGAGAUUGUUGAGCUUCAAACACAGUAUGUACUCACUCAUAAGUGGAUAUUAGACAUAAAGCAAAGGAUAACUAGGCUGCAGUCCACAACCCCAGAGAAGCUAGCUAACAAGGAGGACCCUUAGAAAGACAUGUCUGGAUCCCCCUAGGAAGGGGAAAUAGAUAAAAUCUCCUGAGUAAAUUGUGAGGGGUGAAGGGAAAGCGGUAAGGGGAGGUGGCAGGAGAAUAUGAGGAAACAGGAUGGUCGAGUUGGGGGAGGGGCAGAGAGGGAGAACAAAGAAAGAGAUAUCUUGAUAGAGGGAGCCAUUAUGGGGUUUAGGGAGAAACCUGGUGCUAGAAAAAUCCCCAGGAACCCACAAGAAUGACCCCAGCUAAGACUCCUAGCAAUGGUGGAGAGGGUGCCUGAACUGGGGCCUUCCCCUGUAAUCAGAUCGAUGACUACCUUAAUUGUCAUCAUAGACCCUUCAUCCAGGAACUGAUGGAAGCAGAUGCAGAGAUCUACAGCUAAACACUGGAUGGAGCUCCUGGUGUCCAGCUGAAGAGAGAUUGACCGACAGGCAAGAGUGUAGUGAAAUUUCCUUGAUUGAUUGAUGUGGGAGGUCUCAGCUUACUCUGGGUAUUACUAUCCCUGAGCACCAUGGUAGUCCUGGAUGCUGUAAAAAGGAGGUUGAACAAGCCAUGGAGAACAAACUGUUCCUUCACUGCCUCUGCUUCAGUUCCUGCUUCUAGGUUCCUGACUUGAGUUACUGCCCUGGCUUUAUUUCAAGAUGGACUAUGAUUGGGACAUGUGAGAUGGAGUAAAUCCUUUACUCCCCAAGUUGCUUUUGGGUAUGGUGUUUUAUCACAGCAGUAUGGACCCUACCAAAGAUACCAUUUCAAGAUGAAUGAAAGGAAUAGAAACUCUUUUUUUUUAAAGAUUUAUUUAUUUUUACUUUAUAUGCAUUGGUGUUUUGCCUGCCUGCAUGUCUGUGUGAGGGUGUUGGAUCCCCUGGAACUGGAGUUACAGACAGUUGGGAACUGCCAUGUAGGUGCUGGGAACUGAACCCAGGUCCUCUGGAAGAGCAGCCAGUGCUCUUAACCACUAAACCAUCUCUUCAGCCCCAGAAUAGAAACUCUUAAGAGUUGUUCUCAAAUGUUCACUCAUCAUCAUGUGACUCCUUUUCCAAUUUCCUAGGUGUUAAUUGGCCUACUCUACUAUUCAUGUGCUCUACAUAAAACGUACUGCUUCAUCACAGACUGAAAGAUGAUGAAGUCAAGUGACCAUUGAUGGAUACCUCCUCAACUGCCCAUCUGCUUCAUCAGUCAUUGAUCUGUGGUUAGCCUCUGUGUUAUUCAGCGUGUCUCUGGGCUGAAUCAUUGUGAAUGAAUGGAUUUCAUUCUUCUAUACUAUGCCUGUGGCUACAAGUGCAACAAAACAUUGUCAAAUGUGGACCACACAACCUGUCAAGACUACUAAUGCUCUGGAGAAGCACCAAGGCCCAUGAUACCAAGAUCUACUUACUGAUGAGGUGAACUUAUGGCCCAAGCAUGUAACAACUAACCGCAGAUGAUGUUAGUUUGAAUAAAAAUCUAAUAGUGUAGCCCUGUGUCUUUCUCUGGUCUUGUAACUGUUUCAGAGGCUCUUUCUGUAGACAGUCCUGGGGAUUAGAACCCUUAGCAUCUACACAGUGUUAUAUUUCAAUAGCCUAUCAUUAAGUUUUUUAGGGCAAUGACCUAACCUUAGUACCCUAUCCUUCUACCAGAAAAUGGAGUCCUAUUUAACACUAUAAUGCUAGAGAUUGGGUUAGUGUUGACUAU